UAUGGGUCCCUCCGCAUUGAUACUCUGUGAACUCGGCCAGGUCCGGAAGGAAGCAACCGCAGCAGAGAACUCAAGUGCCGGAGUGAGGCUUGUAGGG
rfam:Moritella viscosa genome assembly, chromosome: 1